CCUUAGCAGCCGUAAAAAUGAAGAUCGAUUGAUUCAGCCUGCGUGUUAUUCAGAGUGCUGUGGACCGCUUAGUGCGCUGGAAACAAAAAACUGAAUUGCUAGAACUAGUUUUAUACAGGAGACUCAAGACUCAUAUUGUGGGAACACCUGGUGACCUGCUCUGAAGCAAGCAGCAGUGAUUUAAGCAGGAGAUGUAUGAAAAAACAGAACGGAGAACAGACUCUCUGCUGAAUGCCAACAUCGGCCCCACGACGAAAGAUGAAACGCAACCAGAGAUCAGCUCGCUGCGGAAAACAACGCAAAUCACUGUACAACAGGAAUAUAUCAUCAAACAAACAACGAGAAAAAAGUGAGGUUGAACAAAAGUCGUAAAUGUCGAGGGACAAGCCGUGUCGAUGAAUUCACUGUAAUAUUAUUUAUAUCUGUUUGUGUUUAUAUUUUGGGAGAACUUUCUUUUAUUAACAACUUAAGUUGCCCCAUAUGCAGUAAAACAACUUCCAGAUGCCAGAAGUUAAGGAUUAGACUGUAUUAAGUCUGACAAAAUCUAUAUAUUUUACACAUGCAAAAAGUAAUGCUAGAGUGACAUGAGUGUUGUUUUGUGGUUGUCAAAAGGUUCAU